rnacentral:lncRNA from 1 species
AAUUAACAUCAUCUCUGAUCCAACUUUUAAAAAUGUCUAUUAAAAAUAAUUGCCAGGGCCACGAAGUGGGAGUGGGUGGGUAGGGGAGUUGGGGGAAGGGUAUGGGGGACUUUUGGGAUAGCAUUGGAAAUGUAAAUGAAGAAAAUACCUAAUUAAAAAUGCAAAAAAUAAUAAUAAUUGUAUAAUUAUCAUCUACAGAUCAAAUAAAAAUUUAAGGUAAUAUAGGGAUUCUCACAUGCCUCAAAUAUAUAUACACACAUAUAUAAUAUACCUUUAUCUGGAUAUUAGUAGUACCCUUCUUCCAAUGAUUCAUAUAAUUGAAAUCAGUUGUUAAAUCUAUAUAAAGGAAGAAAGCACAAGAUACUGAA